GAGUAACACGUAUCCAACCUGCCGAUGACUCGGGGAUAGCCUUUCGAAAGAAAGAUUAAUACCCGAUGGCAUAGUUCUUCCGCAUGGUGGAACUAUUAAAGAAUUUCGGUCAUCGAUGGGGAUGCGUUCCAUUAGGUUGUUGGCGGGGUAACGGCCCACCAAGCCUUCGAUGGAUAGGGGUUCUGAGAGGAAGGUCCCCCACAUUGGAACUGAGACACGGUCCAAACUCCUACGGGAGGCAGCAUG
rnacentral:rRNA from 1 species